AAGUCACUGUCAUCUGAGCUGUCAUAAUCCAAGGCAUCUAAGAGAGAGGCAGCAAGUGGCUUCACCUGCCGGCGCUUCAAACUGCGGUCCACUAAAAAAGGGGAGUUGCAGAGAACAAAACACAAGAAAACAAAGUCUCCUGGAGGGGAAAAUCCAUCUGUUGCGCCCGAGAUUGUAUGGAGAAAUCACGUUUCCUCAAGCCCUCAAACACAACCAUUUACACAUCAAAACAGACCUUCGUGAAGAUGAGCAGAAGAGGAGAAUAAAAGCAUAACGUCAGCUGGAUUUUGGAGAACUGAAAUUUUGAGCGGAAGGACACCCAGGUAAACACAGUAUCAAUGUGCUCCACUCUGCAACACAGAAAAAGGGCUUCAAAUUGUAAGAGUGGAAACGGAGGCACUCUGUAGCCAUUAUUAAAGGAAUAGUUCAGAUGUUUGGAAAACAUGCUCAUUUGCUUUCUUUCCAAGAGUGAGGUGUUCAGGACACUGUGUGUUAGGCUCAGAGAUGGAGUCAGGAUGUGGUUAGCCUAACUUAGAUACAGGUACAGGUACGAUGGAGUUCAUGAAGCUGCACACAGUCCAGUGUUGCCAACUUGUGGAGACUUUUUUUCAAAAAAGAGCCUAGCAACUUUUUGGGCAGCCCUUCACUCCUCUCAGAUAUUCAUCAUGUGCUCUCAUGUGGCUGUGGCUCUCUGGACGGACUGUGUUCACUGAUUUAACUUGACUAUUUAAAUUUGAUUUUUUCUCAGAAUACACAGAGUUUCCAAGAGUGAGACUAUUCCAGUGUCUGGAUCGUCUCUAUUCAUGACACUUUAAG